GACGAACGCUGGCGGCGUGCCUAAUACAUGCAAGUAGAACGCUGAAGGAGGGGCUUGCUUCUCCGGAUGAGUUGCGAACGGGUGAGUAACGCGUAGGUAACCUGCCUGGUAGCGGGGGAUAACUAUUGGAAACGAUAGCUAAUACCGCAUAAGAGUAGAUGUCGCAUGACAUUUGCUUAAAAGGUGCAACUGCACCACUACCAGAUGGACCUGCGUUGUAUUAGCUAGUUGGUGAGGUAACGGCUCACCAAGGCAACGAUACAUAGCCGACCUGAGAGGGUGAUCGGCCACACUGGGACUGAGACACGGCCCAGACUCCUACGGGAGGCAGCAGUAGGGAAUCUUCGGCAAUGGACGGAAGUCUGACCGAGCAACGCCGCGUGAGUGAAGAAGGUUGUCGGAUCGUAAAGCUCUGUUGUAAGAGAAGAACGAGUGUGAGAGUGGAAAGUUCACACUGUGACGGUAUCUUACCAGAAAGGGACGGCUAACUACGUG
rnacentral:rRNA from 1 species